GAUGAACGCUAGCUACAGGCUUAACACAUGCAAGUCGAGGGACCGGCGCACGGGUGAGUAACACGUAUUCAACCUGCCCUUUACUCGGGGAUAGCCUUUCGAAAGAAAGAUUAAUACCCGAUAUAAAGUAUGGGUAUGCGUUCCAUUAGGUUGUUGGUGAGGUAACGGCUAACCAAGCCUUCGGUGGAUAGGGGUUCUGAGAGGAAUGUCCCCCACAUUGAAACUGGGACACGGUCCAAACUCCUACGGGAGGCAGCAGUGAGGAAUAGUAGUCAAUGGGCGCUAGCCUGAACCAGCCAAGUAGCGUGAAGGAUGAAGGCUUAUGGGUCGUAAACUUCUUUUAGAUAAGAAUAUAUGUUAUAUGAAUAAAGAUGGGCUGACACCGUGCCAGCCGCCGCGGUAAUUC
rnacentral:rRNA from 1 species